AUUGAACGCUAACGGCAUGCUUAACACAUGCAAGUCGAACGGCAGCACAGUCGUAGCAAUACGAUGGGCGGCGAGUGGCGGACGGGUGAGUAAUAUAUAGGAAUCUGCCUUGUAGUGGGGGAUAACCCGGGGAAACUCGGGCUAAUACCGCAUAAUCUUUACGAAGCAAAGUGGGGGAUCGUAAGACCCCAUGCUAUAAGAUGAGCCUAUAUCGGAUUAGCUAGGUGGUGGGGUAAAGGCCUACCAAGGCGACGAUCCGUAGCUGGUCUGAGAGGAUGAUCAGCCACACUGGGACUGGGACACGGCCCAGACUCCUACGGGAGGCAGCAGUGGGGAAUAUUGGACAAUGGGGUGAACCCUGAUCCAGCCAUGCCGCGUGUGUGAAGAAGGCCUUAUGGUUGUAAAGCACUUUAAGCGAGGAGGAGGCUACUUUAGUUAAUACCUAGAGAUAGUGGACGUUACUCGCAGAAUGAGCACCGGCUAACUCUGUGCCAGCAGCCGCAGUAA
rnacentral:rRNA from 1 species